AUGGAAUACUUUGAAAAACAGGCCCUAGAAACAGCACCAAAAAAGCCAACUGUUUGGUUCAGAUACGUAGAUGACACCUUCACAAUUUGGAGCCAUGGAGAGGAAGAACUCAGCAAGUUCCUGGACCAUCUUAACAGCAUCCACCCAAACAUCCAAUUCACCAUGGAAAAAGAAAAGGAAGGAAAACUGCCAUUUCUAGAUGUUCUGGUCAUCCGCAAACCCAAUCAACAAUUGGGCCACACAGUUUACAGAAAACCUACACAUACAGAUAGAUACCUUCAUAAAAACUCCAACCAUCACCCAAGUCAAAAAAGGAGCACAAUCAAAGCCCUGACAGACCGUGCACAAAGAAUCUGCGAACCUCACCUCCUCCAAGGUGAACUCAACCACCUAAACUGGGCUCUACAGGCCAAUGGAUACUCCACCACAGACAUCAGAAGAGCUGCAAGGCCAAGAACAAGCCAUGAGAGUCAAGACAAAGAUCCACCCAGAGGAAAGGUGUUCUUACCAUACAUCAAGGGAACUACUGACCGCAUAGGGAAGCUGAUGAAGAAGCACAACCUACAAACUAUCUACAGACCCACGAAGAAAAUCCAACAAAUGCUACGGUCAGCGAAGGACAAGAGGGAUCCUCUCUCUUCUGCAGGAGUCUACCGGAUACCAUGCAGCUGUGGACAAGUCUACAUAGGGACCACCAAACGCAGCGCCCAAACAAGAGUCAAAGAACAUGAAAGGCACUGCAGACUAAUUCAACCAGAGAAAUCAGCCAUAGCAGAGCAUUUGAUGAACCAGCCUGGACACAGAAUACUAUUUGAGAACACAAAAAUGCUGGACCAUUCUAACAACUAUCAUGUCAGACUACACAGAGAAGCCAUUGAAAUCCACAAGCAUGUGGACAACUUCAACAGAAAGGAAGAAACCAUGAAAAUGAACAAAAUCUGGCUACCAGUAUUACAAAACUCCAAAAUCAAAACAGUAGAUGGGAACCAACACAAUGAGGACUUGACUGAACAAAGGAUGCCCCCAGGCAAGGGACAAAACAUUUCCAGUGCCAAUUAG
rnacentral:lncRNA from 1 species